CGUAGGUGGCAAGCGUUGUCCGGAAUCAUUGGGCGUAAAGCGCGCGCAGGCGGUCCUUUAAGUCUGAUGUGAAAUCUUGCGGCUCAACCGUAAGCGGUCAUUGGAAACUGGGGGACUUGAGUGCAGGAGAGGAAAGCGGAAUUCCAUGUGUAGCGGUGAAAUGCGUAGAGAUAUGGAGGAACACCAGUGGCGAAGGCGCUUUCUGGCCUGUAACUGACGCUGAGGCGCGAAAGCGUGGGGAGCAAACAGGA
rnacentral:rRNA from 1 species